rnacentral:rRNA from 1 species
CUGCUGCCUCCCGUAGGAGUCUGGGCCGUGUCUCAGUCCCAGUGUGGGGGGCCUUCCUCUCAGAACCCCUACGCAUCGUCGCCACGGUGAGCCGUCACCCCGCCGUCUAGCUAAUGCGCCGCAUGCCCAUCCGCCACCGGAUCGCUCCUUUGGCCACCGGAGGAUGCCCUCCGGUGGCGUCACGGGGUAUUAGGCCGCGUUUCCGCGGGUUAUCCCCCUGUGGCGGCCAGGUUGCAUACGUGUUACUCACCCGUGCGCCGGUCGG